rnacentral:rRNA from 1 species
CGUAAACGAUGAUCACUCGCUGUAUGCGAUACACAGUAUGCGGCCAAGCGAAAGCAUUAAGUGAUCCACCUGGGGAGUACGAUCGCAAGGUUGAAACUCAAAGGAAUUGACGGGGGCCCGCACAAGCGGAGGAACAUGUGGUUUAAUUCGAUGAUACGCGAGGAACCUUACCUGGGCUUAAAUGGGGGACGACAGCUGCCGAAAGGUGGCCUUCUUCGGACGUCCUUCAAGGUGCUGCAUGGUUGUCGUCAGCUCGUGCCGUGAGGUGUCGGGUUAAGUCCCAUAACGAGCGCAACCCUUAUCGUUAGUUGCCAGCGGGUCAUGCCGGGGACUCUAGCGAGACUGCCACCGUAAGGUGUGAGGAAGGUGGGGAUGACGUCAAAUCAGCACGGCCCUUAUGUCCAGGGCUACACACGUGUUACAAUGGCCAAUACAAAGGGCAGCUACCGGGUGACCGGAUGCUAAUCUCUAAAGUUGGUCUCAGUUCGGAUCGAAGUCUGCAACCCGACUUCGUGAAGCUGGAUUCGCUAGUAAUCGCACAUCAGCCAUGGUGCGGUGAAUACGUUCCCGGGCCUUGUACACACCGCCCGUCAAACAAUGGAAGCUGGGGGUACCUGAAGUCUGUAACCGCGAGGAGCGGCCUAGGGUAAAACUAGUAACUGGUGUUAAGUCGUAACAAGGUAACCAAG